AGAGUUUGAUCCUGGCUCAGGAUGAACGCUGGCGGCGUGCUUAACACAUGCAAGUCGAACGAACCUUCGGGUUAGUGGCGGACGGGUGAGUAACGCGUGGGAAUCUGCCCUCAGGAGGGGGAUAACGGCCGGAAACGGCCGCUAAUACCCCAUAUGCCGAGAGGUGAAAUGAAUUUCGCCUGAGGAUGAGCCCGCGUCUGAUUAGCUAGUUGGUGUGGUAAUGGCGCACCAAGGCGACGAUCAGUAGCUGGUCUGAGAGGAUGAUCAGCCACACUGGGACUGAGACACGGCCCAGACUCCUACGGGAGGCAGCAGUGGGGAAUUUUCCGCAAUGGGCGAAAGCCUGACGGAGCAACGCCGCGUGAGGGAUGAAGGCCUCUGGGCUGUAAACCUCUUUUCUCAAGGAAGAAGACAUGACGGUACUUGAGGAAUAAGCCACGGCUAAUUCCGUGCCAGCAGCCGCGGUAAUACGGGAGUGGCAAGCGUUAUCCGGAAUUAUUGGGCGUAAAGCGUCCGCAGGCGGCCUUGUAAGUCUGUCGUUAAAGCGUGGAGCUUAACUCCAUUUCAGCGAUGGAAACUACAAGGCUUGAGUGUGGUAGGGGCAGAGGGAAUUCCCGGUGUAGCGGUGAAAUGCGUAGAUAUCGGGAAGAACACCAGUGGCGAAGGCGCUCUGCUGGGCCAUAACUGACGCUCAUGGACGAAAGCCAGGGGAGCGAAAGGGAUUAGAUACCCCUGUAGUCCUGGCCGUAAACGAUGAACACUAGGUGUCGGGGGAAUCGACCCCCUCGGUGUCGUAGCUAACGCGUUAAGUGUUCCGCCUGGGGAGUACGCACGCAAGUGUGAAACUCAAAGGAAUUGACGGGGGCCCGCACAAGCGGUGGAGUAUGUGGUUUAAUUCGAUGCAACGCGAAGAACCUUACCAGGGUUUGACAUCCUGCGAAUCCCUUGGAAACGAGGGAGUGCCUUCGGGAGCGCAGAGACAGGUGGUGCAUGGCUGUCGUCAGCUCGUGUCGUGAGAUGUUGGGUUAAGUCCCGCAACGAGCGCAACCCACGUCUUUAGUUGCCAGCAUUCAGUUGGGCACUCUAGAGAGACCGCCGGUGAUAAACCGGAGGAAGGUGUGGAUGACGUCAAGUCAUCAUGCCCCUUACAUCCUGGGCUACACACGUACUACAAUGCUACGGACAAAGGGUUGCAAGCUCGCGAGAGUUAGCUAAUCCCAUAAACCGUGGCUCAGUUCAGAUCGUAGGCUGCAACUCGCCUACGUGAAGGAGGAAUCGCUAGUAAUCGCAGGUCAGCAUACUGCGGUGAAUACGUUCCCGGGCCUUGUACACACCGCCCGUCACACCAUGGAAGUUGGCCAUGCCCGAAGUCGUUACUCCAACCCUUGUGGAGGAGGACGCCGAAGGUGGGGCUGAUGACUGGGGUGAAGUCGUAACAAGGUAGCCGUACCGGAAGGUGCGGCUG
rnacentral:rRNA from 1 species